UACGAAGGGUGCAAGCGUUAAUCGGAAUUACUGGGCGUAAAGGGUGCGUAGGCGGUUCGUUAAGUCUGUUGUGAAAUCCCCGGGCUCAACCUGGGAAUGGCAAUGGAUACUGGCGGGCUAGAGUGUGUCAGAGGAUGGUGGAAUUCCCGGUGUAGCGGUGAAAUGCGUAGAGAUCGGGAGGAACAUCAGUGGCGAAGGCGGCCAUCUGGGACAACACUGACGCUGAAGCACGAAGGCGUGGGGAGCGAACGGG
rnacentral:rRNA from 1 species